UAGAUUACUAGUUUUCUUUAACAACUUAAACUUUUGGGCACACCUGGAGUCACCUAGCAAAAAGAAAAAAAAGUAAAAUUCUUCCUAACGUGAACUCUAAACAGAAACAGAGAGAAAUGCUGUCGUCUUUAUACCCUGGUCUCUGACUUGUAUUAAUUUUCGUUCAAAUCUGAACAGAGGGCUGUCUUCCUGCACGUCGUGAUCGCUAACUUGGAACGAACAGACGAGAAGAAAGGCAGCUACUCAACAUCACUCGCUUCAAACUCUUGAGCUACACUAUGACCAAAUGGUGAGAUUUGGCUGCCACUCUUUAGCACUUGAAGGCCCCAAAGUGUGGAGCGUAAUUUUGCGACAAUAGGCUACGAAACUCCGAACCCUAAAAUUAUAAGUUUGAGUAUGCUAAUCACUAGGCGACACCUCUAAUCCUGUCACAACAGAACAAGAUAGAAAUACUGUAUUGGUUUAUCCGAAUUAGUGCAUUUUCUCAUCACAAGUAGGCCUAAUGAUAAGGGUAAAUGGUUGCUGGGAGUGAAAGAGCA